AAUACAAAGGGCAGCGAAACCGCGAGGUCAAGCAAAUCCCAUAAAGUUGUUCUCAGUUCGGAUUGUAGUCUGCAACUCGACUACAUGAAGCUGGAAUCGCUAGUAAUCGUAGAUCAGCAUGCUACGGUGAAUACGUUCCCGGGUCUUGUACACACCGCCCGUCACACCACGAGAGUUUGUAACACCCGAAGCCGGUGGAGUAACCUUUUAGGAGCUAGCCGUCCAAGGUGGGACAAAUGAUUGGGGUGAAGUCGUAACAAGGUAGCCGUAUCGGAAGGUGCGGUUGGAUCACC
rnacentral:rRNA from 1 species